rnacentral:rRNA from 1 species
UACAGAGGAGCCAAGCGUUGUCCGGAUUGACUGGGCGUAAAGCGCACGCAGGCGGCACCGCGCGUGGGGUGUGAAAUCUGGCCGCUUAACGGCCAGGCGCCAUCCCAUACGGCGGAGCUGGAGUGAUGCAGAGGUCGAUGGAAUUGCCGGUGUAGUGGUGAAAUGCGUAGAUAUCGGGAAGAACACCAAAGGCGAAAGCGCUCUGCUGGGCCGAAACUGACACUGAGAGACGAAAGCUAGGGGAGCAAACGGG